rnacentral:siRNA from 1 species
UGGAGAGUAUUAGCCAACUUUCA